GAUGAACGCUGGCGGCGUGCCUAAUACAUGCAAGUCGAACGCGCAGCGAGAGGUGCUUGCACCUUUCAAGCGAGUGGCGAACGGGUGAGUAACACGUGGAUAACCUGCCUCAAGGCUGGGGAUAACAUUUGGAAACAGAUGCUAAUACCGAAUAAAACUUAGUAUCGCAUGAUAUAAAGUUAAAAGGCGCUACGGCGUCACCUAGAGAUGGAUCCGCGGUGCAUUAGUUAGUUGGUGAGGUAAAGGCUCACCAAGACAAUGAUGCAUAGCCGAGUUGAGAGACUGAUCGGCCACAUUGGGACUGAGACACGGCCCAAACUCCUACGGGAGGCUGCAGUAGGGAAUCUUCCACAAUGGGCGCAAGCCUGAUGGAGCAACGCCGCGUGUGUGAUGAAGGCUUUCGGGUCGUAAAGCACUGUUGUAUGGGAAGAACAGCUAGAAUAGGGAAUGAUUUUAGUGUGACGGUACCAUACCAGGAAGGGACGGCUAAAUACGUGCCAGCAGCCGCGGUAAUACGUAUGUCCCGAGCGUUAUCCGGAUUUAUUGGGCGUAAAGCGAGCGCAGACGGUUGUUUAAGUCUGAUGUGAAAGCCCGGAGCUCAACUCCGGAAAGGCAUUGGAAACUGGACAACUUGAGUGCAGUAGAGGUAAGUGGAACUCCAUGUGUAGCGGUGGAAUGCGUAGAUAUAUGGAAGAACACCAGCGGCGAAGGCGGCUUACUGGACUGUAACUGACGUUGAGGCUCGAAAGUGUGGGUAGCAAACAGGAUUA
rnacentral:rRNA from 1 species